CCUACGGGAGGCAGCAGUGAGGAAUAUUGGUCAAUGGACGAGAGUCUGAACCAGCCAAGUAGCGUGAAGGAUGACUGCCCUAUGGGUUGUAAACUUCUUUUAUAUGGGAAUAAAACGUUCCACGUGUGGGAUUUUGUAUGUACCAUAUGAAUAAGGAUCGGCUAACUCCGUGCCAGCAGCCGCGGUAAUACGGAGGAUCCGAGCGUUAUCCGGAUUUAUUGGGUUUAAAGGGAGCGUAGGUGGAUUGUUAAGUCAGUUGUGAAAGUUUGCGGCUCAACCGUAAAAUUGCAGUUGAAACUGGCAGUCUUGAGUACAGUAGAGGUGGGCGGAAUUCGUGGUGUAGCGGUGAAAUGCUUAGAUAUCACGAAGAACUCCGAUUGCGAAGGAAGUUCACUGGACUGCAACUGACACUGAGGCUCGAAAGUGUGGGUAUCAAACAGGAUUAGAUACCCCUGUAGUC
rnacentral:rRNA from 1 species